CAGUCGCCGCGGGAAUACGAAGGGGGCUAGCGUUGCUCGGAAUUACUGGGCGUAAAGGGAGCGUAGGCGGGUCGUUUAGUCAGAGGUGAAAUCCCGGGGCUCAACCUCGGAACUGCCUUUGAUACUGGCGACCUUGAGUAUGGGAGAGGUGAGUGGAACUCCGAGUGUAGAGGUGAAAUUCGUAGAUAUUCGGAAGAACACCAGUGGCGAAAGCGACUCACUGGCCCAUUACUGACGCUGAGGCUCGAAAGCGUGAGGAGCAAACAGGAUUAGAUACCCCGGUAGUCCCUGUCUCUUAUAC
rnacentral:rRNA from 1 species